rnacentral:tRNA from 1 species
UUGAAUAUAUAGUUCAGUGGUAGAACACUUGUCUUGCAUACAAAGAGUCCUGGGUUCAAUCCCAAGUAAUAAAA